rnacentral:lncRNA from 1 species
GGAAAAAAAGAAAAAAAAUUGCAGGUAACCCGCAUACCCACUCGCAGGCAGGUAUGGGUAAAGAUGUUGGCUACCCAAAACUUUGCGGGUAAAUUUUAUCCAUGCCCAAGUAACCCGCAGGUACAAUGACCCGCCCGCGGGUUACCCAACCUGUCCGUUUGCCAGGUCUAGGCGCACAUGGCAAGAAGUAAAGGCCUGGAGAUGGUCUCAAUGUUGAGGACGAGGGCAGUAACAUGAGAGGUGAACUCUUGGAAACUCGCUUAAGGAAGGGUCGCUAACGAAAGGGACCAUGGCAAGAAAAAAUUUAGGGUGUGUUUUGUUCGCACUAUGAAAGAUUACUAUGAAUAAAAAGAUGUCCGAGAAUCUUAUUUCUAUUCAUCCUAUUACUAUGAAUAUGACAUUUCUUUGUUUGGUUCGUACGGUCAUAUUAUUUAAUCAUAUUAUUUAAGAUUACAAAAAAUAUAUAAUUAAUUAAUUUAUUUUUUAAUUAAUUUUAGAUAAUGUUAUCAAAAAUUUCAACAUUUUUUUAGAAAAAAGGGAGAGAGAACACAUGUUAGAGAGAGAAAGUAUAAUUAAAGAAAUAGGAAGAGAAAUAGAAUCGAGAUUAGAGGGGGUGAGAGAGUUGAGAUUUUAGAAAAUGAGAGGGAGAGAGCUUAGUUUAGAGAGAGAAAAAGAGUUGAAGUUUAGAGAGAAGAAGCAACCCGCGCUAGAUCAACCUCUAAAGAAAUCAAUCGCGGUGUCGGAACGAUCCUCCAAAGACAAGAAGAAUAACAUGAGAUCGAUCCUCAAAAUCACAAAGUAAAAAAAUAAGAAGAGAAGCUAGAGAGAGAGAA